GACGAACGCUGGCGGCGUGCUUAACACAUGCAAGUCGAACGGAAAGGCCCUGCUUUUGUGGGGUGCUCGAGUGGCGAACGGGUGAGUAACACGUGAGUAACCUGCCCUUUACUUUGGGAUAACUUCAGGAAACUGGGGCUAAUACCGGAUAUGAGCUCCUGCUGCAUGGUGGGGGUUGUAAAGUUUCGGCGGUUGGGGAUGGACUCGCGGCUUAUCAGCUUGUUGGUGGGGUAGUGGCUUACCAAGGCUUUGACGGGUAGCCGGCCUGAGAGGGUGACCGGCCACAUUGGGACUGAGAUACGGCCCAGACUCCUACGGGAGGCAGCAGUGGGGAAUAUUGCACAAUGGGCGGAAGCCUGAUGCAGCAACGCCGCGUGCGGGAUGACGGCCUUCGGGUUGUAAACCGCUUUCGCCUGUGACGAAGAGUGAGUGACGGUAAUGGGUAAAGAAGCACCGGCUAACUACGUG
rnacentral:rRNA from 1 species